ensembl:lincRNA B130046B21Rik RIKEN cDNA B130046B21 gene
CUCGGUCUCCUUGGCCUCCCGCUCCUGCGACGCCGCCUUUCUUUUCUCUUGUUCCCGGGCUCGGACCUCGGCGGGGGGCCCCGCCCGCCAGUUGGUCGCCUCCUGCAGCACCCUGGAGGCCCAGGGUCGGCGGGGUGGCGGCUCAGGGGAUCCCGGGCGCAGCCUACACCUGGGACAAUGAGCAGGAACCCAGGGCUUCUUCUCUCCACCCGUGAGCACCAGAGCCUGUAAGAUGUCAGACAGCGAAACGAUGCCCUUGACCACGUCAUGCUCAUCCACCACCACCAGACGGUGAACCUGGCACAGAGGAGCAGUAAGUGACGUGAGUUUUCAGUUCGGGCAAGGCGGAGACUCGGUGCUGUACAAAGAUGCCCAGAGCCACGUAGACAGGCGUGGUCGUACGGACCAUGGCAAUGUUGGCAUAGGUGCCAAUUUGCAGCUCUCGCAGAGAUUUGGACAUGAAUUCCGGCUUGGGGAACUCUGUGAUCUGAGGAAGGGGAUUUGGUAUAGCAUGAGGUGCUACGUUCAAUCGUCAGCAUCAACACCACUCAUCUGCCAGCUCUACUUUUACGACCCCCAAACCGCUCUAUGUGUGUCUGCAGUUCAGCAUGUAAUUGGGUAAUGGGCGGAGGUUACUUACAAACAACUUGAGAAACUUGAGGAUCCGCUUGUGAGUAAGGAUGUACAAGGUGUUGCCGGACUCUGGGUCGAUAACUGGAAGCCUGUGAAUCUUAUUUCGGAUUAAUGAAGAGACAGCAUCAAACAAGCUGCAAAAAGGUAGAUCAUAGUUAGGUUCCACGGGGCUAAAGCCAGGCUGCACAACCCCUUGGAGUGUGUUUACAGACAGAAAAACCUCACGGUCAGUGCUGUGUGUGGCUGGGCGUGAACUGGUAAUGCCUGCACUGGGGCAAACAGAAGAGUCUAAGUUCACGACAGCCUCAACUCUACAAUAAGAGCAAGGCUAUGUGUGAGACUUUUUGUUUUUCCUCAAACAAACAAACACAGCAUGGCAGUGUGCACCAGGAGGGGUCUUUCUUCUCUCUUCUCUCAUGCCCCUUCCCCUAGGUCUUCAGGUGUUUAGGGAUAAACACAAAACCAGAACUCACCUGGCAUUUGGAGAAAUGCAGACAAGUGGCUUAAAGGAGUCCUGCAGGUACACCUCUGAAGAGAACAGGGGUUAUUCACCAAACACUGCCCCGUGCAUGUCUCCCAGGACACCCUCCAUCCCUCAUCUGCCACCACCCGUCCAUACCUCUCCAGGUCUCUAUCUUGUGCUCCUCCAGUUCAUAGAUCUGCACCUAGAAGCAGAAGCGGCAGACCUGAGACUCACGCUCCCCUUGCAGGGGAAAACGAGGCAAAAAAAACCAGGCAGGGCUGUGGUUUUGGAUGGAAGACUCAGGCUCCUUACCAGGGCUGACUUAUAGUAUCGGUGCAGAAUGUUGAUGAAGUCGGUGAUGGUCAGCAUGCCUAGACAAGAGCCAAGACAAGGGCCCUCAGCUCAGCCCACCCGAGGCUUUUCCCCUCUGCUGGCAACACAUGCCAGUAACCGUAUUCCAGAAACUUCUGCUUACCCACAAAACUCUGCUUCUUACUGUCCCACAAAGGGGCAGCUCGAACACCGUUGGUCACCAGGGCAAAAAAGGCUUUCUUUACCUAUGGCAAGAGAGUAGAGUAAUCCCCUAAGGAAAUCCACAGAGGGCACAGCUUCGACAGCUUGGAGGAAGCGCAGGGUUGCUGUGGGGAAGCAUGACAAAUGCUGAUAGGCCUUGGACCAGCGCCAGAGGAAGGGCUCUACCCACCUGCAGCGAAGUGUCGAACACCACCAACUUGGAGCUUGUGGGAAUCAGGUCAUAGCAGCGAUGAGACUUCAUGAAGGAGGUGUACACACUAUUGUUUGAUUCCGGGGUCUCUGUACAGAGUGGAAAAGUUGGUGUGUUUUUUAUGUAAGAAGUCACAAUCAGAAGAGACAGAAACCAAAAAUGGCUUUUGUUUUGUUCUU